AAUAGAUACCCAGGUAGUCCACGCCGUAAACGGUGGGCACUAGGUGUGGGCAACAUUCCACGUUGUCCGUGCCGCAGCUAACGCAUUAAGUGCCCCGCCUGGGGAGUACGGCCGCAAGGCUAAAACUCAAAGGAAUUGACGGGGACCCGCACAAGCGGUGGAGCGUGUGGUUUAAUUCGAUGGUAAACGAAGAACCUUACCAAGGUUUGACAUCCCGGUAGCCGUUCUCCGAAAGGAGAAUUUCAUUUAGUUGGACCGGUGACAGGUGAUGCAUGGCCGUCGUCAGCUCGUGUCGUGAGAUGUUGGGUUAAGUCCCGCAACGAGCGCAACCCUUAUGAUUUAGUUGGAUUUUUCUAAACAGACUGCCCUGGUAACAGGGAGGAAGGAGGGGAUGAUGUCAGGUCAGUAUUUCCCUUACACCUUGGGCGACACACGCGCUACAAUGGCCGGUACAAUGGGCAGCUAAGCCGCGAGGUGGAGCAAAUCCCAUCAAAGCCGGUCCCAGUUCGGAUUGCAGGCUGAAACCCGCCUGCAUGAAGCCGGAAUCGCUAGUAA
rnacentral:rRNA from 1 species